rnacentral:rRNA from 2 species
AGUGGCAGACGGGUGAGUAAUGUAUAGGAAUCUACCUAGUAGUACGGAAUAAUUGUUGGAAACGGCAACUAAUACCGUAUACGCCCUACGGGGGAAAAAUUUAUUGCUAUUAGAUGAGCCUAUAUUAGAUUAGCUAGUUGGUGGAGUAAUAGCCUACCAAGGCAAUGAUCUAUAGCUGAUCUGAGAGGAUGAUCAGCCACACUGGAACUGAGAUACGGUCCAGACUCCUACGGGAGGCAGCAGUGGGGAAUAUUGGACAAUGGGCGAAAGCCUGAUCCAGCCAUGCCGCAUGAGUGAAGAAGGCCUUUGGGUUGUAAAGCUCUUUUAGUGAGGAAGAUAAUGACGGUACUCACAGAAGAAGUCCUGGCUAACUCCGUGCCAGCAGCCGCGGUAAUACGGAGAGGGCUAGCGUUAUUCGGAAUUAUUGGGCGUAAAGGGCGCGUAGGCGGAUUAGUAAGUUAAAAGUGAAAUCCCAAGGCUCAACCUUGGAAUUGCUUUUAAAACUGCUAAUCUAGAGAUUGAAAGAGGAUAGAGGAAUUCCUAGUGUAGAGGUGAAAUUCGUAAAUAUUAGGAGGAACACCAGUGGCGAAGGCGUCUAUCUGGUUCAAAUCUGACGCUGAGGCGCGAAGGCGUGGGGAGCAAACAGGAUUAGAUACCCUGGUAGUCCACGCUGUAAACGAUGAAUGUUAAAUAUGGGAAGUUUUACUUUCUGUAUUACAGCUAACGCGUUAAACAUUCCGCCUGGGGACUACGGUCGCAAGAUUAAAACUCAAAGGAAUUGACGGGGACCCGCACAAGCGGUGGAGCAUGUGGUUUAAUUCGAUGCAACGCGAAAA